GAACAUGGUGUUUGUACGACGCGAGCAUCAUUCUAAAAGAAAGUAGUUACGAAAAGAAAAAGAAGCUGUUCGUGAAAUACACAAUCAUGCCACUGAUGCAGAAAUUGCUGAAUGCAUUUCCAAGUGACUUGCUCAAGCUCCGAUUAGGAUUGAGAUGAAAGCAACAUACAAACAAAAA